UGAGCAAUCUGCCCUUCUCUUCGGAAUAAGCGUUGGAAACGACGUCUAAUGCCGAAUACGACCUCCUUUCGCAUGAUCGGAGGUGGAAAGCUCCGGUGGAGAAGGAUGAGCUCGCGGCCUAUCAGCUAGUUGGUGAGGGUAAUGGCCCACCAAGGCGACGACGGGUAGCCGGCCUGAGAGGGUGACCGGCCACACUGGGACUGAGACACGGCCCAGACUCCGUACGGGAGGNAG
rnacentral:rRNA from 1 species